CUGUCCUUUAAGGGACUGCUCUGUCCAGCGGGAGAGUGUGAAUGGGCCAGGCAGGGUGCGUGAGAGCCCUCUGCAAUUGCCCGCAGCACCACUUAGACAUGGCCUGCGAAGAGCCACCAGAACUGUCACUGUGUUCUCUUCUCGUCGCCUUUCUGAUAGGUCUCAAAAGCUGAACUGCUCUGAAUUCACGUGCCAAAGCAGGAGCUAAUUUUCCUGACUCCAUGCCCCGCACUCAGCUGUCGGUCCUGCCUGCAAUGCCCAAAGCAGAUGUUGCCGUGGAGGAGCCUGGCUGAGGAGAGACAUGGUUCCGUUCUCCCCGAGCAGGCGGCGGUGCCAGCUGGGAUGCCCGGAGCAGCCCGUCGCUGUCCUGGCCCUGGGAGCUCAGGUUGAUGGACCUUUCUGCAGCCAGAUUUGAAACAGCCAGAUUCCAGCAUAGACCAAAGUCCCUAGGAUUCACACGUGAUUUCCAGGAAGGCUUCUUUAAGGUCUGCUGGUUUCAGGCUGGAGUAUUUUUUUACAGUCUGCAUUAUAAGAAAACCUGCGUGUGAAGAAAGGAAGAAGUAAAUGGAAAACAAACUAUAGGCGUGGCCAUUAAUUCUUCUGGGGAGAGGACGGCCUGCCUUCUGCAAGUGUCCAGACCUGCUGCGGGAUAUGCGAGGUUCUGUGGUCAGCAGUAAUUCCGGGGGGUCUGCUGCUGUCCCCGCAAGAGCCCUCCGUCUUCGGCAGCCUGUUCCUUUGUGCUCCUUCCAUGAGGGAGCAGCUGAAAUCAUGAACGAAACAUCGCCAGUAUUGAAGAGGACUCCUGGCAUCCGCCCCUGCAGAAGAAAUCAGUGUAUUGUUCAUUAAAGAUACCCACACUCAUACAGGGAACAUGUUCCAGGGGGGCUGUGGCUGCCCCCUCCCUGGAAGGGCUCAAGGCCAGAAUUUCAUAUUUACCAAAAUAGAUCUCCUUGCGCAUGUGAUGAAAUAUUUAAUUCCAAACACAAGUAUAAGAUAAGUGCAGCUGGAGUGGAUCUUGACUUGCAUCAAGAAAUCAAAGCAGGCACAAAGGGAAGAGCAUACGGCUCUCCCACCUGCAGCCGCUUUAUGGAGCCCAGCACUUCCAGCUCUCCCACCAUCUGUUCUGGCACCCAGGGACCUUCCCGGCCCAUGCGAGGCGCGGCUCCGUGCCCGGUGGGUUUGGUGCAGCAGCACUGUGUCUUACUGUGAUGAUUGUGUGGGGCGAGGAGCUGUGGCAGGAUGUGAAGGCAGCACACGCGGGGAGCUGCGGCGUGGACCUCGCUGCGUAAGUCAGCGCUGCGGGCUGGGAAAUGGACGUGGGCAGGUGUGGCCUUUGGAAAGGCUUCAGAUAGCUUUUUACCCAGCCUCACCAGAGGAAGGAAACUGAUUUAAAGAAAUCCAGAACAAGAUACUGUUCCAACUGGAAAAGAACAUUUGGAGGGCACACCAUCAUCAAGCUCUGACAACCCCCCCUGAGCCAGCCUGUCCGCCGAGCCCAGCCCGCGGGGAGCACCCAGCGCCCUGCAAGGUGGGCUCAGCCCAGGGCUCUUCCUCCGCUCUUCGCUCCGGCAGGAGGUGGUGCAACAAGAGGGACCUUCCCGUGUGCCUCCUCUGCUUUAUCCAUCCCACAACACCCCCGUGCACCAGUGGCAGGGAGCUCUCCUUGGCACAUUCUUGGCUCUGCACAUUAGAAUUAAUAUAAUUAAUUAUAUUAAUUAAUAGGAUUACUCAGGGAUCUUAAUCUUCUUAUACACUGUAAGUGAUUGCCACUGAGGAGCCUAUACCUGCACACCUCCACCCUAAAUGUGCCUGAGGAGCUCAGCACCCUUCUCUCAACUCCCUGUGCUGCAGACAGCCAGAGUUAAAGUCAAGCUUGUCUAAAUUCUGCCUUUCAAGUCCAGUUUAUGCUGCCCAAGCACACACUUUUAGAGGAGAAAAUGAGGAUAUAUGGUUAGAGGUUAAUACCAGCUUCUUACCACCCUCAACUGCGAUAGCAUUUUUUUGUGUAGAUGGCCUGUACCUUCCAUGUCCUGCUCAGAGACGGAUGCUCUCCAGAAACCCGCUCCUCGCCCAAGCAGAACAGCAGGCUACGGUGUCUUCUUCAGGAGGAACCCCUGUUCAACUGGGAUGCCCCAGACUCCCCCUGGGGCCAACCCAAGCUGCAGUAGAGCACAGAGAGGGCUGUUCAGGUCAGAAGACAGAACAAGCAUGAUCUCAUCCCCAUGCCAGUUUCUCAUAUUACAAAGUCACCACAAGACGUGACGAUGCAUUGUUCCUGCUGUGGGAGGAUGGAGCUGAGGGCUUGCCUGCACCACUUGGGAGAGCAAACUGGAAGGAACACACAUGCACAAGCAAUCUCGAGCAUCAUACUUCACCAUCAUCUUCAUCUCCUGCAGUUUGCUCUGACCUACGUGUGCUCGUCGAGGCCUCGAUGAUACGAUAAUCUUCCAACCGGACCAGACUAUGACUGGACAGAGUCAGCCCUAGGAUCACCCUGGGAAGAAACUCUGAUUCACCGAAGCACUGUACAGCCGUCAGACCAAGAAUUUUGCCCUGUGUGUCUGUCGCUGAAGGGAACUGCCUGCCACAGUCACCCUCAACCAGGGCAGGAGAGGGCAGGACUGUGCUCACCACUGCCCCGUCACUGCUGGCAAGGCGAGCUCCCCUGCUGAAACAGCACAAGGGCCACCCACACCCCGACAGUAACAUUUUCUCAUAACCCACAUCCCUUCCUUCAGAGAACUUCCAUUUAUAGUUCACAUCGUGUGCUCAGCUUGUUUUGCACUGGUUUACAUGGACCAGCAUUCAACCAGCAUCUCUAAAUAGUAAGGAUUAUCAGUGUACUUGCUGAUGAACACAGAAGCCAGCGUAAAAUGGACUCAUAUGCUCCUGUCUUGUUGACACCAGCUACAAAAGAAAGCCAGUUAUCACUUUUCCAACUCGGACUUUAUAUAUAAAGCUGACUUUGAACUACUGUAAAUGCUGACGGGUGGGGAGAGAGAGUCCUGACAUAGGGGACUAGUUCUGGUAAUGUAAAGCUGAAACACUGUUUUCUUACGGGACGCUCCUUGAGAACACAGUACCAGACAGGGCUUUUCUGCCCGCGCUGUCGCUGCAUUCCUGAUAAAAGCCUGUCACAAGCUCUCUCUGUGUCCUUUCAACCGAGCUUCUGAGAUCCACAACCACUAUCUUGGGAAUGGCAACAGCUAACAGAAAUGGGGUUUUGACUGCAUUGCACACAAAAGGAAGCAUGUUAGGAGCAACAGCAGUGGCAGUAAGAGCAGGGCAGGGGUGUCAAGAAGGGGAAGACUCCCUGCAGCCCCUGAGUGCCGCUGACCCGGACCUGUGUGUUCAGGAAGCUUUGCCUGCUGCCUGAUAGUGCACACGUAGUGCUGGACCCAUCCCGGUUACACCAGUCUCCUGUCUCCGAUAGCACCGCCCUUCGCUUUCUGGCCUCUGCCCUGGUGUUAGGAGGAAUCUGGUCGCUGUAGCACUGGGAGACAGGACCCGGGUGUCUGGGAGACUGGGUGUGCGCUGCGCAGGUCUGCGCGCUGGCGGGAGCGAGACUCCCCCCGGGAUAAGCCAGAGAUCUGGCUGCGCUGGAUCUGGACCUGGUUUGUAUCUGCCGCAAACACUGCGUAUGUCCUUCCACACGUCAGCCUGGCUGCUGUGGUACCACGUUUGCUGCAGAGCAAUGCCAACACUGCGCAGCCCAGCUCCUGUUCUGGGUCACAUGCUGUCAAAUUCAUCCAGACAUCAGUGAGAGUGUGACUGGGGUUGGGAGAAAACCCAACAACCACCCCCAUCUUUCUGUGAGAGGGAGUCACUGAGUCCCGACUGAUCCUCGCAGAGCCCACAGCUGCUCUUCUUGGGGACCACUCCAUAUCAAUAGUCUUUAAUGAUUUUCAGAGGCCUUAAUAGAAUAUAAGCCCCUAUGGUCUUAACUUGCAAAAUAUACAAGCUAAUUUUUAUCCAUUCAGAAUGACUAAUUUAUAAUGCAACUGAGAAAAAAAAUAAUCCUCCAAAUGAAAAUGCCUAUUAUAUCACUGCUUUUGCAAUGUAUUACUAAUGAGUUUCCACACUAUUUAACACCUUCAGGACAAUUCCACUGAUCAAACUCCUAAUGCAGAAUCUGCUAGGGCUUGCCAGGAAAUAGGCAAUUAUUAUAGAAAUCCUAGUAGUGAUUUUUUUUUAAAAUAUCGUGAUAUAUUUUUCAUUUAACCCAGAAGUAAGUUUGUACCACUUCCACCAGUUUGCUCCAACAAGCUUCAGAAUAUUAACUUCCCCAAAUGUUCUGUUUUCUCAUCUCAGGUUCCCAAGGCAGAACUCUGAAAGUGUUUUGAAUUUGCAGACACAGAUAUAUACUGCAGUCACUUCUGCAGCAUUAAUGAUGAAGGACAACAAACUGUGCCUGUUCUUUACAUCAAAUUUAUAAUGGAAGUGUUCCAUUAUAAAAUAAUUAUGAUACAAAAUGGAGAUCAUCAGAAACAACUAUUGUUUGUCUACUUCUAACACUUGUAUUUUUGCUGAGUAAUCCAUUUCAUUGAAAAUUCUAUUUCAGUGGAUUUCAGGGGAAUUAUUUAUGUAAGUUUUAAAACAAAAUUAACAGCACAAAAACGGAAACUUAUGUGAGCAGGAUUUAGGUUUAUAUUUGACGCAUCAUUUUAGUGCCUGACAGCAGGAGUGUUUCAGUAGGUGUGAAGUCACAGGCUUUUAUAGUACCUGCACAGUCUGAUGAGAAAAACUGGAAUUGGCCACAGCAGUAUUACCUUUUUGUAGAUAUUUUGUAUACAGCUUCCAUUUGGAACCAGAGAAUCUACCAAUCCACUCUCCACUACAAAACCAACAUUUGUGCUUUUGCAGAAAAGCUGUAGCUCUCGCAGAAUGCAAGCUUUAUGUAGCAUGUUUAUGCAAAAAAGCCCAGGGAACCAACUUUGGCUAAUCAGUGUCCCACCUGAUAUGGUAGCAAUAGAUCUGUCAAAAAUUACUCAGGACCUAAGUAUGUAGAAGUUCCCCCACACCUUUAUUUAUCUAGCUCUAAUCUUUGCUCUUGAAUGCAUGCUUAACCAGUAAAAAGGGGAAGAAAAGGCACUGCGGUUGUUGAAGUGAAAUGUGAGGGGCACAGACACAGGUUCACCUUUGAACCCGAGUAUCUCAUACAGAAAAAUGGCUGUUGUCCCAGGUAGUUAGAGAGCAGUCAUCACCAUUCCAAACAGUUGGGACUCCCUGGAAGGUCUAUUUAAAUAGGCCAUCUAAAUAUUAUUAUUAUAGAGCUGCAAUCGCUCUAAUGUGACUGUGACUGCUCUCUCAUCUUAAAAACAGACCAUCUUUCUACUCCACAAUUCCUCUUACUUUUAUGCUACAAAUAUUACAUAAGGACCUAUGCUUUAGGAACUCAGUCCUGCAAAAAGAUCUCUAACUAUAGAUCAAGUCAUGCCACAGGUUAUUUAAAGUAUCUGACUAGCUAUCUGAAAUUUGUGUACAUUCUCUUUUUGCUUAGACAAUAUCCAACCUUAAUGAAAAAAAUAAAUGUCCUGUCAUUAUUCAUGCUUUUAACACUGAGAGACAACUGACAUAGCUGGUAAAAAACCCGAACAAUUGUUUAUACAUGAAGAAAGUCAUUACUUACUGUUCAAAUAAGAAUUAUUCAAGAAAAUGAGCAACCUAGAUUCCAGGAAAUCCAGCAACGAAUCCCUGAAAUGUACCAUUAAAAUACACUCAUGCCAAACAGCAAGAUCUAAGACAUACAAAAUCUGUUGAAGAGAUGAGGAUUUUCUCCCCUAUUGAUAUUAGUCUUUACUUAGUAUGAGUUUAAAAGAUAUGAGUGAAUAUGGUGCUGAACCCCACAUAAAGUAUCUGAAACCCUUCACAUUGCUCUUUUAACUAGGUUAAAUGAAACCUGAUCUGGACUUCACUUGAUCCUAAGACUGGUAUGCUGAAAAUGCUCUAAUCUAUUUAUGCAUCAAAUUGAUGAAAUUGUGUGUCUUUAAAUUUCAUUGCAUUCCAGUGUAUUAACUAAAUAUCGACAGUUUACAAACUAUUUCAUGUUCAAACUGAGAAAGAAAAGACAGACCGAGCUAACUUAUUUAUCCUACAGCCAGAAUUUAUUUCCUGGCUUUUAAACUAUGGACUAAACCCAGGUCUGCUCUAUGCCUUCCCUAAAAGUGUUGUUCCUGCAGCAAUAAUUCAUUCCUAGUGCCAACACAUGGUAGUUGCCUUAUUGUGACCUCAAAAUGCAUGUUUUUUUCUCAGCAUCAAGAAUAUACUGCAAUCCCAAACUGGGUUUGGCGCUCAGAUUUGACUUAUACGUCUCUUCUUUCUGCCUCUAAGCCACAAACGAUUCAACAUGCAGCAGGGAGCAAGUAUGUAUGUAUGAGCUGUGUAAAUGGAACAGCCAGAUCAGAGAGGCGAAACCGCACAGGGGCUUAUUCCGCCCAGAACUAACUGACAAUAACUAGUCUGUGACAGCCCCAGACCCCCCUGGUGAAACAGUGGUCUUUAGACAACAGUUCUGUAUCAUGGUGUCAUUUCGCUAAAUUAUCUACAUAAUUCUGUAGCUGUGCACUAUGGUCUUUGACGCCUUAUGCUGAAUAGAGGCAAAGUCCUGCCCCGGACUGCUCUGUGUCAAACAGCGCGAUCAGGUGCAGCACAAGAUAGUAUGGAAAAGGUAAAGGUACCCGUCAUGAAGAAGAGCACAUUAUGCUAAAGACCUGUCCGUUGAUCUGUACAAAUGUUCAUCUUAACAGAUCUCAGUUAAGUAAAACACAGCUCCCACUGACAUUUAAUGGGUUCUGCCACUGACUUGAAAGGGGCCAGGAUCAGGCUAACAACAACUGAGAUUUUCUAACAUUUAUUCAUUUCUAUUUGCACUUUAAAUGUGUUUCCAUGUGUGUAACAGUUUCCAUUUGUUCUCAGUUGUUGGUCAUAUUAACUUUUUUUCAUUAGUUUUUGGAUUUAGUGCCUGUUAUUUUCCAUAUAGAAGACAAUGACCACUGCAGAGACAAAAAGAGCCAUUUUGUUAGGGUCAGGAAAGAGGAAAUUUCCAUGCUUUCUGUCACAUGAGACUUUAAGAAGAGCCUAAAGCUAAAUACUGCAGCUACUAUUUGCUGGUUCUCUUGAUAGUUAGUGGCCUUUAUAAAUGCAAAAAUCCUACUUAGACAUUCAAGUAACUCAUUUGCCCUUUUCUAUGCCCUUCUUCCCUCCAGCAAUCUGUAACCUGGAAUUUGUCUUCCAGGUCUCGAAGUCAAUGUCUUACAGCUUGAAAUUAAAAGGACUUGAAAUUCAAAUUACCAAUGCAUCUCAGUCCAGUUUGAGAUCGUUUGUGGUAAUUUAGAGGAGUUUUAAAAAUAAGAAUUUGGGUAAAUGUCUUACUGUCUAGCACCACUAGUUUAAUAAAAUGGAAAAUGUACAGUUUACAGUGAAGGAAAGGAAUUUCUGAUAUUAAUUCUGAUAUAUUCUGAUUAUUUUAAAAUUUAAGAUGUUAAUGCAGGAUCUUGAUACGAGUCAUCUGAAAGGGCCUGCACUCUUAAAAUACCAAACUGGUAAACCUCAAUUCACAUACAUGGAAGUUUAAUUUUUACUAACUCCUAAAUUUCUGCUAAAAUUUGAAAAGAACCUAGUGAUAAAUGAAUUGCUUAUCACUUGUCCAUUAUUGUGCCAGUAUGUUCAUACUUCUAAGACAGUAUCACACAGCUUGACCAAAAUUUAGGUCUCAGUACUCAACACACACAAAAAGUCAGGCAGGGCCCUGGAGGCUUCUCUGUGUCUGCAGACAAAGCAGGCUGAUAGAUGGGAGAGAUAAAAAAGAAGAGGCACAAAGAAGGAAAAAUAAUUUGUACAAGGCCACACCGCAGAUAAAUACCAAUUUAGCUGUAAAACUGAAGUUAAAAAAAUAAUCCCCUGAACUUUUCCCACUGACUUCCACACAAACAAUUUCAAUCUGGACUCCUGAUACCGGGGUAAAUGGCCUAUCUGUUAGAUCACGCUGCUUCCCCAGGCUAGUUUUUAAUCUUCAGCAAUAAUCACCUAAUGGUAUUAAGGCUAAGAAACCUGAACGCAUGAACUCUAGAUACCAAUAAGUAGUCCAAUCCCUCUGAUGAUUCCUACAGCUUUCUUUUUAAAAACAGUGUAUUUUUAAUGUUACUGUUAGGGAUUUUAAAAA